rnacentral:snoRNA from 1 species
AGGCAACCUCUUGAUUCGUAUUCAUUGAUCAUUGUGGUGUUUAUUUGCUCGUAAAUCGAUGUAAAAUGUUUUUGCUCUUCAGAUUUGCCGAGAUUGGAAUACUUAGGUUUUCCAUUUCAUGAAGUUAGUCUAGUAAAUCGAAAGCACAUU